GUAAUAUUCUGUUUGUCACAAAACAAGUAGGUACAACCAAACGCAAGUUGCAAGCACAGCAACAGAAACUGGUUCUACAAUUGUUAUGCUCUGCAGUCGUACGUCCAUAAAACCUUACCGCCCUUGAAGCAAAUCAAAGAUAACGAAUGCAAAGGUAAUCGUUAGACCAGAACUUAAAAUCACAAUUUCCCGUGCUCUAGCAUCAAGAGUAACUGCUCCAGGCCCAACAACAGCAAAGUCAGCAUCCAACCACCCCUAAUCGAAUCGUUCAGCCCUUACUGUUUCCUUCAACAACAACCAGAUGCAACAAAUCAUCAAUUAUCUCGAUUCAACAUCCUUAAUUUGGCAAUCGGCCAACCAUUCUCAGCAUUGAAUCGAUAAAACCGUAGCAGCACCAGCAACAUAACAUAUAGUAGCAGCCAACAACCCCUUAAAAGAGCCAUAUAACAAUUUCAGAUCUAAACCCGCAAAGCAACAUCACGAUCGCUACGUUUUUUGCUCAGAUCUUACAACAAAACAAUCCAUCAGCGGCAGUAAAAUUAACAAACUUUUCCAUCAUGACAUGAAGCCGAUUGCAACUGAAAUGCUCCAAGGUGAUCAUAUCACCAAACGUGAAAGGCAAAACAAUUUAUAUCGAACUUAUCCAACAUCCUAAAUCAAAAAGGAACGUCGUAUCCCAUCCUAGCCUUAAUUCCUACCAGUUCCCUGCAUGAAAAAGGUAGGGAGGAGCCUUGACAGUACAACUUUUCACAACAGACUUAGCAGCAGCACCAGUUAUUAAGAUUUCUCCCAGAUGAUGACCAUCAUCAAAUGGUCGCCAUUAAUAGCGUUAAAACGACGGCUCUACCUCAGGGUUUUAUUCUAAUUUUAUAACCUGGUCAACAAUGGCAACCAGUGCAAACGAUCUAAUCCAAUCAGGGACAAACGCAGAAAACCAUUGGCCAACAGUAGCAGCAGCAGCAACAACCAUAUCAGAACAAUCAUCACCCAGAUUCUGCAGAAAAAGAUAUAGCAAAGAACAGGAACAGCACCUUCAGACUGUAGUAACCGUAGCAUUGUAUACGAUAUUGUAUCAUACCACGAGCAGGAGGAACUUUUAUUCAGUUGCAGGUGCAGCAAGAUCGAACAGGAACCAUAGUAGAUAUAGAUCCAGCGGACACACACCGCUCAACGGCAGCAACAGGGUACCAUAGUCAACAUCCAGCAGCAGAACGCAGUGAUUAAACAGUAAAUGCAGCAGCAAGGUGCUUGAAAAGGACUUUCUCUUUCGAACAAACAUAAUGGAAGGGCACGACAAGUUCAAACGGGCCAGCUGUGUGACUCAUUUGGAAAAAGUGCUUCAUCGGUGUCAUGGCAUGAUAUCAAGACAAACCUCGGACUAAUCCGGAAAAUGCAUUAAGUUGAGCGAGAGUCAGGAAAAAGUUCUGCAUGUAUGCGUUGAUGAAGGUGGCGUUCCGAAAUUGCCAUGAGCUGGAUCCGUCUCAGCAACACGAAAUGAGCUCCGUCACAACUGGUAGAGCGCAAAGCGCCGGUAAGCCAACAACUGCUCAAUAGAAUUAAGAAGUUAUUCAAUAUUUAGCAUAGCGAAUAGUA